ensembl:lncRNA
AAAACAUUUUACAGUUAUAAUAUAUAGGCUAUCAUUGUCCAUCAUUUUUUUUUUUUUUAAAUUACAAUUACAGAGAAAUUCUUAUGGUCAUAUUUAUUUUGAUUUUACAUAACUUUGUCAUUUUAAACUAUGGUUUCCCUUGUAAACUUUUCUAAGAGUAAUAUUACCUGAGUAUUCAUCAUAUUUGAUUUGAUUUCUGGGAGCAGAUUACACAUACAACUCUACAUGCAACACAAUUAUCAUGGAAUAAUGUCAAGCCUUACAAUACACCACUGCGCAGGUGACAAAAGUUUUUAUUUUUUUAUGAAGUUAAGAUAUGAAUUAUUUUCAGUACAGGUUGCGUCAUAUUUCUUUCUCUGUGCGUGCUCUGCUGUGUUUACUUGUACGCCAACUAACGACCCAACAACUGCAAAAAACAAACAGCAGUACGAUGGCCGACUCCCGCGCGCGGCAGGAAUACCUGACAUUCGUUUGUUCCGUCGCCGUCGCUCCGAGCAACAGAGGCCAAUUACUGCAGCAGCCGCAUGACCUUUAGCAUGCAGAUGAGCCGCGCAGCGCACGCGCUUAUGUGUGUGUGGCCGGUAAAUAUUAACGGGAACGGAAGAGUGGAGCCAUAAUGACGCACAGAUCGUUAGAGACUCGUUAGGGAGCACGAGACGGAGGAUAUUAAAGAGCAGUUAAGAGCAAAACGCACAUACACACCUUUCUACAGGACUGGCACACACACACUUCACCAGUCUAACGUACUCCUAUAAUGCCUGCAUAUAGGCUACCUUUGUCUAACUCACACAUAAACACGUGAGAGUAAUGCAAAGAUCUAUCUAACAGACACACAUAUCUGACAUGCAACAACAUAAUUCAUGUGUCUAACACACACACACACCUGCCUUCUAUGGAUAAAAACACUAAAACUGUCUGACACACAAACACAUUCAUCCUACUAGCACAUAUAGACACUUUACCUGUCUAACACGCACCUCACAAUUUACUUAUCUGACAUAAACAAACUUCCCUGUCUAUCACACACGCUUUAUCUGUCUAAGGCGCACAUAUACCCACAAUUCACCUGUCCAACAUGCAUGCAAACACACACACACUGAGCGUCGCAAGUUCUGAGCGCUGCGCUGCCGGGGUCUUUCAGCACGCUGGCAUUAGUAUUCACAGACAGCGCUUCCCUUCAGUGCCUGAAUUAAUUUUCCACCAUGCGUAUGUGUGUGCGUGUAUCACAUCACAGAAAGUGCGAGACCGCGGCAGAGAGAGAGCGAUAGACAGUGUGUGGUGAUCUCCCCGAAUCUCAAGCCUCUUUUCCUGUUAUUUUAUUGCGAUUUAAAUACUUCACUUGUCUAAUGCAUGUAAUCUGACUAAUCAGUGCAGGAAAUUGCCCACAGUCUGUUUCUAAAGAGGAAACCGUUCUGUUUCGAACCUGCCACAGAGAGAGACAGGCUUCCGACGGAAAGCAGCGUGCACGAAGAACGAAGAUUGAGCGUGUGUGCGCGAUGACAGCAUGUCACCCAACCUACCCAUCUGGUUAAUUCUGCCAAGCAAAAGAUGAAACCGCACCAAAAAUACUGCAGAGAUUGAUUCAGUGCACGACUUUUGACAUGAACAACAAGAUAAGGUCAGCACAGUGAUGUCAUGAACUGAUUCCAGAUCAGAUGCAACUGGCUGUGGGAAGGACUGACUGCAGGUCAGCGUGGAAAAAUAGGAAGGUUCGGGGGAAUAAACUUAAACUGGUGCAAUCCCACAGACGUCCUGGGUGAGUUUAUUCCCUUAAGCGCAGUGUGGAAAAUUUGCGUGUCAAGCUGUGUUUUCCAGCACAUGAAUCCACACACACACACAGUUUAAUCCUGCGCAGUGGGGAUUGCCGUCUGGAGAUUGUACCGCGUCCAAGACUGAGUCGCCGCUUGCUGACCUUCUCACACACACUUCUAUACAUCCGUUCUAAGGCGGUGUGUGUGCAGCGUACAGCUUUGAUCCCCAGCUGAAGGGUACUUACAGGCCAAAUUUCCAAAUGCGUAAGAGUCAGCCCUCCCACUGGAGAGAGAGCGAGAGAGACAGAAUGAAUUCUUACACGGCUCUGGGAAUUGGGUCUCGGCGGCAGGAGCUAUUAAUAUAUCGCUGCGGCCCCCGAGAGAGAGACGGCGAGGUAGACAGAAAGACAAUCAGAUAAAGCCAGCGAUAGAAAGAGAGAGAAACAGAGAGGAAGAGAAACUGAGAGACAGACAGGUAGUUCAGACAGAGAAAAAGAGUGGUAGAAAGAUAGACAGGCAAAGAGAUACCAAACAGAUAGAGUGAAAGAAUGAUUACAGAAGGAUAGACAGAGACAUAGACACAGAGAGAGAAAGACCUAUACUGUCCACCACAGUGAUCCUUAGUAUGUCUGUGUGUUUCUAUGUAAGUUAAAGAUGUUAUAAUGUGUUACAGUUUAAUACUUCUAAGAUGUUACAAUAUUCCAUUCUAUUACUGUGAUGUUCAUUUAAAUAUUAUUAUUGUUAUAUUAUUAUUUUUAUCUUUUUGUACAUGUAUACUUAGAUGCAAAGAAAGCAAUAGAAAC